rnacentral:lncRNA from 10 species
CCUCGAACUCAAGUCCCGCUCAUUACAAAUUCUUCUUGCCAGUGUCCACACAUCCUGCCCCAUCAAGAUGUUCUCAUCAUGUGUUACGAGUGGCGCUCAAGGAUGAUGCUUCUUGAAAAUUGCUUAGUUGAAAAAUGGAGAGAUCAGCUUAGUAAAAGAUCCAUACAGUGGGAAGAGAGGCUGCAGGAACAGCGGAGAACAGUUCAGGACAAGAAGAAAACAGCCGGGCGCACCAGUCGUAGUAAUCCCCCCAAACCAAAGGGAAAGCCUCCUGCUCCCAAACCAGCCAGUCCCAAGAAGAACAUUAAAACUAGGAGUGCCCAGAAGAGAACAAACCCGAAAAGAGUGUGAGCUAACUAGUUUCCAAAGCGGAGACUUCCGACUUCCUUACAGGAUGAGGCUGGGCAUUGCCUGGGACAGCCUAUGUAAGGCCAUGUGCCCCUUGCCCUAACAACUCACUGCAGUGCUCUUCAUAGACACAUCUUGCAGCAUUUUUCUUAAGGCUAUGCUUCAGUUUUUCUUUGUAAGCCAUCACAAGCCAUAGUGGUAGGUUUGCCCUUUGGUACAGAAGGUGAGUUAAAGCUGGUGGAAAAGGCUUAUUGCAUUGCAUUCAGAGUAACCUGUGUGCAUACUCUAGAAGAGUAGGGAAAAUAAUGCUUGUUACAAUUCGACCUAAUAUGUGCAUUGUAAAAUAAAUGCCAUAUUUCAAACAAAACACGUAAUUUUUUUACAGUAUGUUUUAUUACCUUUUGAUAUCUGUUGUUGCAAUGUUAGUGAUGUUUUAAAAUGUGAUCGAAAAUAUAAUGCUUCUAAGAAGGAACAGUAGUGGAAUGAAUGUCUAAAAGAUCUUUAUGUGUUUAUGGUCUGCAGAAGGAUUUUUGUGAUGAAAGGGGAUUUUUUGAAAAAUCUAGAGAAGUAGCAUAUGGAAAACUAUAAUGUGUCUUUUUUACAAUGACUUCAGCUCUGUUUUUAGCUAGAAACUCUAAAAACAAAAAUAAUAAUAAAGAAAAAUAAAUAAAAAGG